CCCAUGUAUCCGAGAGGCCAAGAAGCCAGGCAGCCAGCGGCUGGCGACUCCCCGAGCUCCCCAGUCCCUUCUGAAACCUAGCCGCACGCCCGUGCCCGUCGACCGUCGUCCGCCUCCGCCACUCCGCCCCGGCCCCCGGCGCCCUCUCGUCGACCUCGCCCCGGCGGCCGGCGCCCCCUCGUCGACCUCGCCGCCUCGGGCCUCGGCGUUGCCGCGUCGGCGACCCCGCGCGCAAAAGCUGCGCCGGUGCGCCCGGCGGCCGGCGCCCCCUCGUCGACCUCGCCGCCUCGGGCCUCGGCGUUGCCGUGGCGCGGCGUCGGCGACCCCGCGCGCAGGCUGCGCCGGUGCGGCCGCGGCCGGCUAGCCCCUCGUCGACCCCGCGCCUCGGCCCAGGCCUUGCCGCCUUGGAGGGCACCGAGCGGGCGCUGUUCGAGAAGAAGCGCCGCAUCCGGCAGGCGCUCGAGGAGGGCAAGCCCAUCCGGCCAUCCCCACCGAGCUCCGCAACGAGGAGCACGAGCUGCGGAGGCAGAUCGACCUCGAGGACCAGCAGUUUCAGACCUUCUGGAAAAAGAGAAUUAGUUCGUCGUCAACCUUGCUUAUCCGAGCCACCGUGCCUCUGUAAAGUUCUGCAACCAGGAUAUGGACUCCGGCAGCGGCAGCAACAGAAAGGGAAAAAGAAAAGCAAUAGAAUAUGGAAGAGAUCUGAAGAGCUACUUUACCCAAAAAUCUAGCACUAGCAUCACUCCAAGUACUCAUGGAAGUGGAGUUGGUCUCGAGGCAUUGGAGAGGGAGGAGGUGGUGCUGCAAACUCAAGUAGAGAGCACUGAUGCUGUAGCAGUACCAAUGCCAGUUGAAGAUGUUGAAGGUCAAACCGGUGGUGGUGUGAACUCAAGUAGAGAGCAAACUCAAGAUAAAGAUGCAAGUGAUCAAGGUAUAAUAACUGAGUUCAAUCCAGAACAUGUCAUCUCUGAUCCGGGUCUUCGCAUUCCAAUAGAUCAAUUUGGUCCUAAUAUUGAGACUUAAUGGUUGUGUAUAUUGAGAGGGAGAUAUUUAAAGGAAUUGAUAUUCAAUCUAUCAAAAAGACAUUUCAAGUGAAGAAAGAUAGGAAUAUAAAAUUGCCGAAGCAUCCUAAACACAACCGGACUGAACGCAACUAAUAAAUUUAUCGCUUAUUUUGGUCCCGUUGUUGAUUUGAUGUGUAAUCUACAUGUUUUUCUUCAUUUAAGGUGGCAUGGUCACUGACGCGAUCGACGACUACGAACGAAUGCACGAACUGAUCAGCUGACUGCUGAGUUCGCAGCACGAUCUCCAGGCGACGAACAUGAUGGCGCGCCGGCGUGAGAGAGAACCAGGCCAGAGGCGAUGGCCAGGCGGGUACAUACUCCUAGGUGGAAGAACCGAAGAAGCACAGCUAAUUAUUACGCGAGUGAUCUGAAUGCUUGAUUUCCUAUCAACGGUCUUGAAUCCGCCUACUGGAAGGUAGUCGUUGUAACACCCCCAUGUUCCGACCGGUCCGACCGGUGUCGCCGGCCGGUCAGACCGGUUGCGCCGGUUGCCGCGCGUCGAGCAUCAUCGCCGGCGAGCGACGCCACGCGUCGGCCAUCCCCGGCGUCGAAUGUCCUCGUCCCUCUCCCUAGACGGCCGCUUGAUAUUUUUCCCUCUCUCUCUCGCUCAGCUCCUCGGCCUUCUUCUUCCUCGAGCAGAGCUCGAACGAGCUCGAGCAGCUCGCUCCCGCCGGCCAAAUCCCCGGCCUCCGCCCCACCGUCUUCAAAUCGCCGCCAACCGAACCUCCCUCACCUCCCUAGCUCCCUCCUCAACCCCUCCGAGAUGAGCUCCGGCCGCCGCACGGCCGGGAAACAAAGGUUCUCCGGCUGCCGGCCAUCCAUGGCCGUCGAGCUCCACCUCGACGUCGAACUCCUAGCUCCGGCCACCGUUUUCUUCGUCCAGCGGCUCAAAUCGAAGCUAGGUGAGGUGCUGAUUCUCGUGCUCUCCUCGUUCUUGCGCGUUCCCAUAGUUUCCGCGCUCGUUCGUGGUGUUGCCGCCGCCGCCUUGCUGCCGUUUGCCGCAGGCCGUGUGCAAGCGCCCCUGCGUUGUGCCGCCGCGUGCGCCGGCUUUGCCCAGCAACGCUGCCGCUACACCGCCCCGCACCGCCGCCGUCCGGCCUCACCGCCGGCGAGGGCUGCUCGCCGGGCCGUUGGCCGUGGCCCUGUGCCAGUCCGGCUCAGCCGAAACCGGUCUGACCGGUAUUAGGCACCAGUCUGACCGGUGUGUGCCCCUUUUAUUCAUUUGACGAAACUUGUAGGUUGCCUAAUAAAUUAAAGAAAAAUUCUAAAAAUACAAAAGUAGUUCCAUUUGAAUGUUUAGAUCUAAAUCUCCAAGGUAAAAAUGUUAAUUCUUGUGAAAUAACCUUUUUGCCCCGUUAAAGAUUUAGGAUGUGUUUUAGGCUUAUUUAAUUAGUUUAGACAAAUCUAUUAGUCCAAAAAUUAUGAAACCUAGGCAGUAGUUUAAUUUAGGCAUGUGUAGUUCACCAUAAAAGUUUCACGUCCAGAAAACGUAGUUUGAUAUGUUAGUUGGUUUCUCCAUAUGUUAGUACUUCUAUGCAUUAAGGAAUAGUUUAUAUUUGAGAAGAGUCUUGUAAAUUAAAUUAGAACACUGUAUCAGUAGCUACAUUAUACUAGAUUUUGCUUAUCACGAGGAUGUAUUCAUGAUUUACUUUAGUGAAUUUAUUCUACUCUAGGCCGAGUUAGUUAGUUCAUAUUAAAGAUAUAUUGCUAGGGUUCAUGCUAGGCCGUAUAGUAAGUUGAGUGGUAUCAUUUUAUGGAGUUAAUGACGAAAAUGUUACAUACAUGAUGAGUGUUGUUGCUAUCAUGUUCGGUCAGCCGGUCCGAUCGGUGCAGGGACCGGUCUGACCGGUCAUAAACGGUCUAACCGGUUUGGUAUACCGGUCUGACCGGUAGAGUCAGGUCUGACAGGCGUAAUCAUAUGUAAAUCGUAGUGUUUAUACUCGGUCGGUAGUUGUUUUUGUGUUGGUAAAAUUUUGUUUGCAUUACAUAUUUUCAUGUGCAUUAAUUGGCGGUUCAUAUGCAUUC